rnacentral:rRNA from 1 species
CGCACAGCGAAAGGUGCUUGCACCUUUCAAGUGAGUGGCGAACGGGUGAGUAACACGUGGACAACCUGCCUCAAGGCUGGGGAUAACAUUUGGAAACAGAUGCUAAUACCGAAUAAAACUUAGUGUCGCAUGACACAAAGUUAAAAGGCGCUUCGGCGUCACCUAGAGAUGGAUCCGCGGUGCAUUAGUUAGUUGGUGGGGUAAAGGCCUACCAAGACAAUGAUGCAUAGCCGAGUUGAGAGACUGAUCGGCCACAUUGGGACUGAGACACGGCCCAAACUCCUACGGGAGGCUGCAGUAGGGAAUCUUCCACAAUGGGCGAAAGCCUGAUGGAGCAACGCCGCGUGUGUGAUGAAGGCUUUCGGGUCGUAAAGCACUGUUGUAUGGGAAGAACAGCUAGAAUAGGAAAUGAUUUUAGUUUGACGGUACCAUACCAGAAAGGGACGGCUAAAUACGUGCCAGCAGCCGCGGUAAUACGUAUGUCCCGAGCGUUAUCCGGAUUUAUUGGGCGUAAAGCGAGCGCAGACGGUUUAUUAAGUCUGAUGUGAAAGCCCGGAGCUCAACUCCGGAAUGGCAUUGGAAACUGGUUAACUUGAGUGCAGUAGAGGUAAGUGGAACUCCAUGUGUAGCGGUGGAAUGCGUAGAUAUAUGGAAGAACACCAGUGGCGAAGGCGGCUUACUGGACUGCAACUGACGUUGAGGCUCGAAAGUGUGGGUAGCAAACAGGAUUAGAUACCCUGGUAGUCCACACCGUAAACGAUGAACACUAGGUGUUAGGAGGUUUCCGCCUCUUAGUGCCGAAGCUAACGCAUUAAGUGUUCCGCCUGGGGAGUACGACCGCUAGGUUGAAACUCAAAGGAAUUGACGGGGACCCGCACAAGCGGUGGAGCAUGUGGUUUAAUUCGAAGCAACGCGAAGAACCUUACCAG